UGGAGACACUUUACCGGAGACAGAAAGUACCGGCGCGUCGGUCUCUGAGACACCUCCCCGGGCUCUCUCGGUCACUUUUCGUGCGUUUCUCUGUCAGUCUCGGGGCGUGGACGCAGGGGAUCGGGACUCGUUGGAUGACCGCGUUGUUUCUGGAGAAUACCUGAUGUUGCAUCUCCAUAUGAGCGCAUAGGGAGCGCAGGACCUGCCCCCCGCCCCCCCUUCCCCAGAAGGUUGGGGCUCACGCAGCUGUAGAGAGACCUGCACCACAUGAAGAUGGAGUCAUUUAUCUUCUGGAGGGCUGUCCUCAUCUUCCUCACACUUCACUCUGCCAAGUGUGCAGAGAGUCAGACUGCGGUGUUUCUGCCAGAGUUCGCCCUCUCACCUCAGGGCAGCUUCAUGGAGGAUGCUACGGAGGAUCAGUUUCUAACCUACAAAUACGAC